UGGAAGUAAAAAGUCGUAACAAGGUUUCCGUAGGUGAACCUGCGGAAGGAUCAUUACCGAGUGAGGGCCCUCUGGGUCCAACCUCCCACCCGUGUUUAUUUUACCUUGUUGCUUCGGCGGGCCCGCCUUAACUGGCCGCCGGGGGGCUUACGCCCCCGGGCCCGCGCCCGCCGAAGACACCCUCGAACUCUGUCUGAAGAUUGUAGUCUGAGUGAAAAUAUAAAUUAUUUAAAACUUUCAACAACGGAUCUCUUGGUUCCGGCAUCGAUGAAGAACGCAGCGAAAUGCGAUACGUAAUGUGAAUUGCAAAUUCAGUGAAUCAUCGAGUCUUUGAACGCACAUUGCGCCCCCUGGUAUUCCGGGGGGCAUGCCUGUCCGAGCGUCAUUGCUGCCCUCAAGCACGGCUUGUGUGUUGGGCCCCGUCCUCCGAUCCCGGGGGACGGGCCCGAAAGGCAGCGGCGGCACCGCGUCCGGUCCUCGAGCGUAUGGGGCUUUGUCACCCGCUCUGUAGGCCCGGCCGGCGCUUGCCGAUCAACCCAAAUUUUUAUCCAGGUUGACCUCGGAUCAGGUAGGGAUACCCGCUGAACUUAAGCAUAUCAAUAAGGCCGGAGGAA
rnacentral:rRNA from 1 species